GAUGAACGCUGGCGGCGUGCCUAAUACAUGCAAGUCGAGCGAACAGAUAAGGAGCUUGCUCCUUUGACGUUAGCGGCGGACGGGUGAGUAACACGUGGGUAACCUACCUAUAAGACUGGGAUAACUUCGGGAAACCGGAGCUAAUACCGGAUAACAUUUGGAACCGCAUGGUUCUAAAGUGAAAGAUGGUUUUGCUAUCACUUAUAGAUGGACCCGCGCCGUAUUAGCUAGUUGGUAAGGUAACGGCUUACCAAGGCAACGAUACGUAGCCGACCUGAGAGGGUGAUCGGCCACCCUGGAACGGAGACACGGUCCAGACUCCUACGGGAGGCAGCAGUAGGGAAUCUUCCGCAAUGGGCGAAAGCCUGACGGAGCAACGCCGCGUGAGUGAUGAAGGGUUUCGGCUCGUAAAACUCUGUUAUUAGGGAAGAACAAACGUGUAAGUAACUGUGCACGUCUUGACGGUACCUAAUCAGAAAGCCACGGCUAACUACGUG
rnacentral:rRNA from 1 species